rnacentral:rRNA from 1 species
UACGUAGGGUGCAAGCGUUGUUCGGAAUUACUGGGCGUAAAGGGAGUGUAGGCGGAACCAUAAGUUAGGAGUUUAAUCCACCGGCUCAACCGGUGUUCGGCUUUUAAUACUGUGGUCCUUGAGUAUGGGAGAGGGCGAUGGAAUUCCAGGUGUAGCGGUGGAAUGCGUAGAUAUCUGGAAGAACACCAGUAGCGAAGGCGGUCGCCUGGCCCAAUACUGACGCUGAGGCUCGAAGGCUAGGGGAGCAAACAGG